GAUGAACGCUGGCGGCGUGCCUAAUACAUGCAAGUCGAGCGAACGGACGAGAAGCUUGCUUUUCUGAUGUUAGCGGCGGACGGGUGAGUAACACGUGGAUAACCUACCUAUAAGACUGGGAUAACUUCGGGAAACCGGAGCUAAUACCGGAUAAUAUUUUGAACCGCAUGGUUCAAAAGUGAAAGACGGUCUUGCUGUCACUUAUAGAUGGAUCCGCGCUGCAUUAGCUAGUUGGUAAGGUAACGGCUUACCAAGGCAACGAUGCAUAGCCGACCUGAGAGGGUGAUCGGCCACACUGGAACUGAGACACGGUCCAGACUCCUACGGGAGGCAGCAGUAGGGAAUCUUCCGCAAUGGGCGAAAGCCUGACGGAGCAACGCCGCGUGAGUGAUGAAGGUCUUCGGAUCGUAAAACUCUGUUAUUAGGGAAGAACAUAUGUGUAAGUAACUGUGCACAUCUUGACGGUACCUAAUCAGAAAGCCACGGCUAACUACGUGCCAGCAGCCGCGGUAAUACGUAGGUGGCAAGCGUUAUCCGGAAUUAUUGGGCGUAAAGCGCGCGUAGGCAGUUUUUUAAGUCUGAUGUGAAAGCCCACGGCUCAACCGUGGAGGGUCAUUGGAAACUGGAAAACUUGAGUGCAGAAGAGGAAAGUGGAAUUCCAUGUGUAGCGGUGAAAUGCGCAGAGAUGUGGAGGAACACCAGUGGCGAAGGCGACUUUCUGGUCUGUAACUGACGCUGAUGUGCGAAAGCGUGGGGAUCAAACAGGAUUAGAUACCCUGGUAGUCCACGCCGUAAACGAUGAGUGCUAAGUGUUAGGGGGUUUCCGCCCCUUAGUGCUGCAGCUAACGCAUUAAGCACUCCGCCUGGGGAGUACGACCGCAAGGUUGAAACUCAAAGGAAUUGACGGGGGCCCGCACAAGCGGUGGAGCAUGUGGUUUAAUUCGAAGCAACGCGAAGAACCUUACCAAAUCUUGACAUCCUUUGACAACUCUAGAGAUAGAGCCUUCCCCUUCGGGGGACAAAGUGACAGGUGGUGCAUGGUUGUCGUCAGCUCGUGUCGUGAGAUGUUGGGUUAAGUCCCGCAACGAGCGCAACCCUUAAGCUUAGUUGCCAUCAUUAAGUUGGGCACUCUAAGUUGACUGCCGGUGACAAACCGGAGGAAGGUGGGGAUGACGUCAAAUCAUCAUGCCCCUUAUGAUUUGGGCUACACACGUGCUACAAUGGACAAUACAAAGGGCAGCGAAACCGCGAGGUCAAGCAAAUCCCAUAAAGUUGUUCUCAGUUCGGAUUGUAGUCUGCAACUCGACUACAUGAAGCUGGAAUCGCUAGUAAUCGUAGAUCAGCAUGCUACGGUGAAUACGUUCCCGGGUCU
rnacentral:rRNA from 1 species